rnacentral:rRNA from 1 species
GUAGGGUGCAAGCGUUAAUCGGGAAUUACUGGGGCGUAAAGCGUGCGCAGGCGGUUGUGCAAGACAGAUGUGAAAUCCCCCGGGGCUCAACCUGGGAAUUGCAUUUGUGACUGUACGGCUAGAGUGUGUCAGACGGGGGGUAGAAUUCCACGUGUAGCAGUGAAAUGCGUAGAGAUGUGGAGGAAUACCGAUGGCGAAGGCAGCCCCCCUGGGAUAACACUGACGCUCAUGCACGAAAGCGUGGGGAGCAAACAGGAUUAGAUACCCUGGUAGUCCACGCCCUUAACGAUGUCAACUAGUUGUCGGGUCUUAAUUGACUUGGUAACGCAGCUAACGCGUGAAGUUGACCGCCUGGGGAGUACGGUCGCAAAGAUUAA